rnacentral:lncRNA from 1 species
AACUAUUUAAUCACAAUCCAAAUUCAGAGCUGUAUCAAGCUUAAAUGUUGUGUCCAUACUUGCCCCAACUGUUCAGCGUUUCGACCUCUGCGGUCGUAUAAAGCUGCGCCCUGUGGAGCAUCUGGUUUAUUUGUAAAAUAAAAUCCUUCUUCCUCUGCAUGACUGUCACGAGUGAAAUAUAUGCUCAAGUGACCCUUAAGAUAGUUAUAUAGACCUAUCAUCAAGUUUGAAAUGUCACGCAAGCUUAGGUUGUCAGUUCAAAGUCUGUUACUAGUGAAAGAAAGUGGAUAUAAUUAUUUAAAGUAAAGAAUGCAGUAAUGAUGGGGGAAGCAGUAUAUAAAUAAGUCUUUUUUUACUGAGGAUAUUUAUCUUGUUUGUUUUUGAUAACAGUCUUAACUAAAAAAGGUUAUGUAAAAAAGAUCUGAACUACAUAAAAUAUGUUCUAGAAUACUGUGGGUUCAAUUUAGAUAUAUACCAUUUAUAUUGGUUACGAAAAUAAAUGACUGAUUGCUAAUUGGGCUAUAUUUUUUUUUCUGAUUAGCUAAAUUCUUUUACUUUUUCAUUUAUUACACAAAACACAAGACGACAGGAAAGGAGGUCCUCUGCUUGAGAUAGAGUGAAAUAAAAGAAUGAUUGGAUAGUGUUUUUUGUUUGUAUUUUUUACGCUGUAAUUGUACAUGUAAUUCUCAAAAUAUGUCAUAUAAAACAUAGAAAACACUCUGAAAAAUAAAAAGUUAAACCACCCUUGUGUAACGUCAUUGACCUCAACAAUAAUAAUGCUAACAAUGAACCCAUAGUAAGAUUCUAGUCCAAAUUCACAUAUAGUUUUGCUUGGAAUGCAUGAGAAUAAAAAUUUUGGUGUUUAAAAGACUUGAGAUUUUUAACAUGAAUUAUAUAUUUUUGUUUAUCCGCCUGACAAAGGAAUAUUGGUGCACACAAUGUCUUAUUUAUUCUGAUAAUUAAUAAAUACAUUUAAAAGAC